UACGUAGGGUGCAAGCGUUGUCCGGAAUUAUUGGGCGUAAAGAGCUCGUAGGCGGUCUGUCGCGUCUGCUGUGAAAUCUCAGGGCUUAACCCUGAGCUUGCAGUGGGUACGGGGCAGACUAGAGUGCGGUAGGGGAGACUGGAAUUCCUGGUGUAGCGGUGAAAUGCGCAGAUAUCAGGAGGAACACCGGUGGCGAAGGCGGGUCUCUGGGCCUUACCUGACGCUGGAGGAGCGAAAGCCGGUGGGGAGCGAACAGG
rnacentral:rRNA from 1 species